GACGAACGCUGGCGGCGUGCCUAAUACAUGCAAGUCGAGCGAGCGGAACUAACAGAUUUACUUCGGUAAUGACGUUAGGAAAGCGAGCGGCGGAUGGGUGAGUAACACGUGGGGAACCUGCCCCAUAGUCUGGGAUACCACUUGGAAACAGGUGCUAAUACCGGAUAAGAAAGCAGAUCGCAUGAUCAGCUUUUAAAAGGCGGCGUAAGCUGUCGCUAUGGGAUGGCCCCGCGGUGCAUUAGCUAGUUGGUAAGGUAAAGGCUUACCAAGGCGAUGAUGCAUAGCCGAGUUGAGAGACUGAUCGGCCACAUUGGGACUGAGACACGGCCCAAACUCCUACGGGAGGCAGCAGUAGGGAAUCUUCCACAAUGGACGCAAGUCUGGUGGAGCAACGCCGCGUGAGUGAAGAAGGUUUUCGGAUCGUAAAGCUCUGUUGUUGGUGAAGAAGGAUAGAGGUAGUAACUGGCCUUUAUUUGACGGUAAUCAACCAGAAAGUCACGGCUAACUACGUGCCAGCAGCCGCGGUAAUACGUAGGUGGCAAGCGUUGUCCGGAUUUAUUGGGCGUAAAGCGAGCGCAGGCGGAAGAAUAAGUCUGAUGUGAAAGCCCUCGGCUUAACCGAGGAACUGCAUCGGAAACUGUUUUUCUUGAGUGCAGAAGAGGAGAGUGGAACUCCAUGUGUAGCGGUGGAAUGCGUAGAUAUAUGGAAGAACACCAGUGGCGAAGGCGGCUCUCUGGUCUGCAACUGACGCUGAGGCUCGAAAGCAUGGGUAGCGAACAGGAUUAGAUACCCUGGUAGUCCAUGCCGUAAACGAUGAGUGCUAAGUAUUGGGAGGUUUCCGCCUCUCAGUGCUGCAGCUAACGCAUUAAGCACUCCGCCUGGGGAGUACGACCGCAAGGUUGAAACUCAAAGGAAUUGACGGGGGCCCGCACAAGCGGUGGAGCAUGUGGUUUAAUUCGAAGCAACGCGAAGAACCUUACCAGGUCUUGACAUCUAGUGCCAUUUGUAGAGAUACAAAGUUCCCUUCGGGGACGCUAAGACAGGUGGUGCAUGGCUGUCGUCAGCUCGUGUCGUGAGAUGUUGGGUUAAGUCCCGCAACGAGCGCAACUCUUGUUAUUAGUUGCCAGCAUUAAGUUGGGCACUCUAAUGAGACUGCCGGUGACAAACCGGAGGAAGGUGGGGAUGACGUCAAGUCAUCAUGCCCCUUAUGACCUGGGCUACACACGUGCUACAAUGGGCAGUACAGCGAGAAGCGAGCCUGCGAAGGCAAGCGAAUCUCUGAAAGCUGUUUUCAGUUCGGACUGCAGUCUGCAACUCGACUGCACGAAGCUGGAAUCGCUAGUAAUCGCGGAUCAGCACGCCGCGGUGAAUACGUUCCCGGGCCU
rnacentral:rRNA from 1 species